CCUACGGGAGGCUGCAGUGGGGAAUAUUGGACAAUGGGGGGAACCCUGAUCCAGCCAUGCCGCGUGUGUGAAGAAGGCCCUCGGGUUGUAAAGCACUUUCAGUGAAGAAGAACGCCUGGUGGUUAAUACCCAUCAGGAAAGACAUCACUCACAGAAGAAGCACCGGCUAACUCCGUGCCAGCAGCCGCGGUAAUACGGAGGGUGCGAGCGUUAAUCGGAAUUACUGGGCGUAAAGCGCGCGUAGGUGGCUUGAUAAGCCGGUUGUGAAAGCCCCGGGCUCAACCUGGGAACGGCAUCCGGAACUGUCAAGCUAGAGUGCAGGAGAGGAAGGUAGAAUUCCCGGUGUAGCGGUGAAAUGCGUAGAGAUCGGGAGGAAUACCAGUGGCGAAGGCGGCCUUCUGGACUGACACUGACACUGAGGUGCGAAAGCGUGGGUAGCAAACAGGAUUAGAUACCCUAGUAGUC
rnacentral:rRNA from 1 species